GUCUGCUUGGUUUUGGUUAUCUUAGCUGUAAUAAAUAGACCUGGGACCCCCGAAGGCACACCCCACACACUUAUGCUGUGUGACCUAAGGUCACAAGUAAUGGCUGCAAGCUAAUUGAUUGAGAAAGGCUUGUCUGGAGGGGCCUCUUUGCGUCCUCCCUUUACAUUCCUAAGUUCUGUGAAAGAGGCACUAGCGGCUCAGACUGGCAAGGAAGGAAAAAAAGAGAGGAAGUUUCUCUGCGUUCUGAUUACAUUUGAGUUCCCUGUAGUGAGCUUAACUUCUCUCCACCCACUUCUUACCAAGAACUCUCUCACUUGAAGGUGAACAACUUAAAGCCUGAGCUCAGAGAGUUACCCGAAAAGUGAUUUGAGUAUUUAUUGAACUGAAAGAACAAAUUACCUACUUCAGGCGGUGGGAAGCGUAUGGAAAUUAUAUUAGAACUUCAGCAAAGUGCACAGCCGCAUAACACAGAAGCCGAGACUCAGAUUGACAGGCAAAUAAGCCAGCUCGUGGAAGGGGCCUCUGGGUGGCAGCUCUGGGCUAUUGGGUGUUGGACAACUAUAGGCAAAACUGAAAUGGAACAGGGGCAGAAAAUAGCACACUUUAACGCUGCGCAACCGUUGCUUUCUCAUGGCCAUUGGAAAUUUUGUUGGGAUAAUCCUCCAAAUGAAUUUGAAGCAUUCUAUUCAAAUGCAAGGGCUGGCUCCUUAAGACUUUAACCUCCAAGGAUGAACACAGAAAAAGAAAAAACAAAUCAAACUCUAAAUCAUGCUUUCGGUGUAUCUUCUAAUUCUCUCUUUAAAUUAUGUGGGAUAAGAUGUGCCUUUUAUAUUUUGUCAUAUUAUGCAUUGUCUCAUUUAAAAAUAGUUCUAAAUAAAAAUAAAACAAGUUAUAAAGAAGUCAGGCACUUUGUGCUGUAAUCUUGCAUUAUUAAAAUAUAAAAGUGAAUUUGUGUAGAGUAUCUCUUGAGGUACAUAGUUUUCCUAAGGUGUCACAUGGCUAUGGAAAGAAGCUGUGUGAAGACAGAGUAGUCGCCUAUAUCUAAUUAAGUGGCAAAAUGAUACAGAGAAACUUGACUAGAAUGAAGGAAAAAAAAAAACCUGCCUUUUGGGAAGCUACAUUAAAAACUUAAUUUUAUUUUCAAAUACAGACUUCUCUUCUGGGGAUAACUUCUAACAAGCCCAAGAUGCGGAGUCUUAAAUGAAUCAUUACAACAUACAGCCUAGAGUUUGGCCUCACUGUAAACUGUCAAAGGUAAAAAAAACCUGAACAGGCCAUGUGAUUUGAGUUAACACACUCAGAGUGAAGUGAAUUUAGGUCAUUCUUAACCUUCUUGAGUUUUACAUGUGCAGUUUUGCUCUUUGGUUUCUUUCUUUCUUCCUCUGAUCGAUUCCCAGGCAAAGUCAGAGCUCUUCAGGAGAAGGCUGAGAUUAUAACAGUGUCAGCCUUUGCUUUUAGUGGAGUGAUGAGGUUAUCAAUAAUGCAUUGGAGAUCUCAGGAACCUUGUAUGUAUGGACAUCACAGCUGCCUGGCGUUUGCUGUAGAACUUGCAGAUUUGAGCUGAGAUGUCACCGCAUCUGCUUUGGAGCCAGUUGUUGAUGCCUUCUCAAGAAAUCGUGGGGCCAUAGGGAGAGCUGCAGAGAUUAUCGAAAUGAAACAUUGCAUCUGAGCAGGUGAUUCAGGAGUGAGAAUAUAUCUAUGAAAUUGCUUUUUUAAAGAAGUCUAUUCAAUACUCCUCUAAUAACGUUUCGUCUCCCUAGCUCCCUUCUAACGUUUCUAAGUUUUGCUGCUUCUCUG
ensembl:lincRNA